ACGGAUAUAUCACGUUGAAACACCGGUUCUUGUAAGAUCACCAAAGUUAAGCAACGUCGAGCCUGGUCAGUGCCUAGAUGGGUGAUCGCUUGGGAAUACCAGCUGCU
rnacentral:rRNA from 1 species